AAAUAAUGUAUCGAACAUUUGUGUAACAAAUCCUUGAAACACUCUCAAGCUUUAUUUAGGUUCUCGUCCUCCAUUUAUUUGAAUGAUUUGAAAUCAUUUCUUAAUUU